GAUUUAGCCAUCAAGAAAUUCGCUGAGAGUCGAGACGACGAAGUCCGUGGCUGCACCGCCGAAGCCGGAAAUAGGUCGUCGGAUUCCGUUUACGAUAAGAACCAUGAGUUUCAGUUCAUUGGCAAAUCGCGAUCGCGUAGCGUAGCAGCAAAGCCUAAAUGCUUACAGGAAACCUGCUACGGAACUCCGUGAUUUCAUCAAGGUGGAGAGCAUCCGGGAUGCAAUGGUUGAGCGUGGAGUAAUGGCGACUGAGUUCUCUUACAUCCAAUCAAAUAAUAUCCAGUUUUCUUGCACAGAUCUUCACCUACAUCCGAAGCCUCAACUUGCUGGUUCAUAUUUGAAAGCAAUAUGGUGGGGAUCAGAACGCAGAAAAUGAACAAGGUCGUCUUCUUCAUGGUAAAUAUGUAUGAUCUCUGUUUUUGACUUGUUAGUGAUCGAGGAAUGUUAAGGAAUUAACAGGGAUUGGCUUGCAAUUUAUAUCAACAAUGCCUUGCAUUUCAGCCGCUGAAAAUAUGACUUAUUCUUAUAUAUUUCGUUGGAUAUUUGGCAUUAACAAUUUUGAUUUCUUUGAAAGUGAGGUUAUAGAUCUCGAAGAGUCAAAGACUAAAACGCUAAGUGACAAUAUAUCUUUAAUUUUACGGCCGAAUCAAACAAGUGAAGGUGUGGCUAACGGCAGUUGAUAUAGUCACCAUGAUGAUUCCUCAACCAACCAUUUGGGAGUUUUUUUUAUGGUUAAUUUGUUUGUUUGUGUUGUGCUUAAAGUGUUGUUGUUCGUCUGCCACAACUACAUGCAAAUACGAUGCAAUGAACCCAUUUGGGACAGUGUUUGCAAGUGAGAGUUGGAAUUUCUUAUGGUUAUAACUGCAAGUUUACUGUAUGAUAUCCAAAAGUCCAGACAGACAGAGAAAGACACAUGGGAGACAGAGAGGACAGAUAAGUGAU